rnacentral:rRNA from 1 species
UACGGAGGUGGCAAGCGUUGUUCGGAUUUAUUGGGUGUAAAGGGUAUGUAGGUGUCCUGUUAAGUUCUUCUUGAAAUACUUUGGCUCAACCAAAGACACGGGGGGAAAACUGACAGGAUUGAGUAUAGGAGAGGAAAGCGGAAUUCCCGGUGUAAGGGUGAAAUCUGUAGAUAUCGGGAGGAACACCAGUGGCGAAAGCGCUUUCUGGCCUGAUACUGACACUGAAAUACGAAAGCAAGGGGAGCAAACAGGAUUAGAUACCCUCGUA